rnacentral:rRNA from 1 species
GCCAGCAGCCAUGUCACCUUGUAGCCCACGACUGGUUGCCCAUUGAAGCUAAGCAGGGCUGAGCCUGGUCAGUACCUGUAUGGGAGACCUCCUAAGAAAACUAGGUUGCUGCUGGAA